rnacentral:piRNA from 1 species
UGAUGUGUGUGUGCAUGUACAU